rnacentral:rRNA from 1 species
UACGAGUGCCCCGAGCGUUAUCCGGAAUUAUUGGGCGUAAAGGGUGUGUAGGUGGUUGUAUUAGUCUUCUGUGAAAUUCUUCGGCUUAACCGGGGUCCCGCAGAGGAAACGGUACAACUAGAGGAUGCGAGAGAUGAAUGGAACUCAUGGAGUAGGGGUGAAAUCCGUUGAUAUCAUGGGGAACACCAAAUGCGAAGGCAAUUCACUGGCGCACUCCUGACACUGAGACACGAAAGCGUAGGUAGCGAAUGGG